ACACCGUUGGUGAAGUGGUUAUCAUGCUUGCCUUCCAUUAUGGAACUUGAGAUUAUUUCAUGAAGCAAGCGGCUCGGGUUCGAUUCCCGAACGGUGUA